rfam:Populus trichocarpa isolate Nisqually-1 chromosome 8, whole genome shotgun sequence.
GUGUUCUUGAAAACAUCCGAUAAAACUGAAACAAUGUAGAAAAAUGUAACAUGGUUCCUGCACAAAGAUGACACGAGAAUUGAGAAAUUGUCCUCAGCUUUUU